AGGAUGAACGCUAGCGGCAGGCCUAAUACAUGCAAGUCGAACGGGAUAGGCUCCUUCGGGGGCCUGAGAGUGGCGCACGGGUGCGCAACGCGUAUGCAACAACCCCCGACAGGCGGAUAGCCGGUGGAAACGCCGGAUAAUACGCCAUGGUUCCGUGGGAGGGCAUCCUCCUGAGGAUAAAGCCGAGAGGCGGUCGGGGACGGGCAUGCGUCCCAUUAGAUGGUAGGCGGGGUGACGGCCCACCUAGUCCACGAUGGGUAGGGGAUCUGAGAGGACGGUCCCCCACACUGGUACUGAGACACGGACCAGACUCCUGCGGGAGGCAGCAGUAAGGGAUAUUGGUCAAUGGGCGGAAGCCUGAACCAGCCACGCCGCGUGAGGGAAUGAGGCCCUACGGGUCGUGAACCUCUUUUAUUCGGGGACAAGGACGCGGUCGGGAACCGUGUUUGAGGGUACCGAAGGAAUAAGCGUCGGCUAACUCCGUGCCAGCCGCCGC
rnacentral:rRNA from 1 species